AUUGAACGCUGGCGGCAGGCUUAACACAUGCAAGUCGAACGGUAACAGAACGCCGCUUGCUGCUUUGCUGACGAGUGGCGGACGGGUGAGUUAUGUCUGGGGAACUGUCUGAUGGAGGGGGAUAACUACUGGAAACGGUAUCUAAUACCGCAUAACGUCGCGAGACCAAAGAGGGUGACCUUCGGGCCUCUAUCCAUCGGAUGUGCCCAGAUGGGAUUAGCUAGUAGGUGGGGUAACGGCUCACCUAGGCGACGAUCCCUAGCUGGUCUGAGAGGAUGACCAGCCACACUGGAACUGAGACACGGUCCAGACUCCUACGGGAGGCAGCAGUGGGGAAUAUUGCACAAUGGGCGCAAGACUGAUGCAGCCAUGCCGCGUGUAUGAAGAAGGCCUUCGGGUUGUAAAGUACUUUCAGCGGGGAGGAAGGGAGUAAAGUUAAUACCUUUGCUCAUUGACGUUACCCGCAGAAGAAGCACCGGCUAACUCCGUG
rnacentral:rRNA from 1 species